rnacentral:rRNA from 1 species
UACGUAGGGUGCAAGCGUUAUCCGGAAUUAUUGGGCGUAAAGAGCUCGUAGGCGGUUUGUCGCGUCUGCUGUGAAAACCCGAGGCUCAACCUCGGGCCUGCAGUGGGUACGGGCAGACUAGAGUGCGGUAGGGGAGACUGGAAUUCCUGGUGUAGCGGUGAAAUGCGCAGAUAUCAGGAGGAACACCGGUGGCGAAGGCGGGUCUCUGGGCCGAAUACUGACGC